UAAGAGGUGUUUUCUUUUAAUUCUAG
rnacentral:piRNA from 1 species